rnacentral:lncRNA from 1 species
CGGUCACAGUUCAGGUAUGGGACUGUCUGAGUUCUCCGCUAAGGACGGACCUUGUUCAGCAACGUGUCGGUGAUGGAUCUGUAGGAGCGACCGACAUCAGUAGGUCCAGGUGUCCGGGUCUUAGUGGGUACAAGAGCUCUGCUAUUCUGGAACCUGUGUGGUUCUAGUUGAGACUGUCGACGUUGGAGUACCCCUCUUAAGAGCGUAAAAGUGUGAAAUUUCAUCCCUGUGACUCCCGGGUUGGGAAGCUUGCGGUCAUGUGUGACGCCAAAUAAAUUCCUAGUUGUUUCCAUUAAAUCUAGUUAUAUGUUCUUUUGUCCAUUUCCACCAAAAUACAUUCCAAUGAUUAUUACCUUGUUUAUCCUAUGGAUCAAGUUCAUCUGUUGAGAUACACUAUCAUACUAUUCUUCUUUGUUGCAUAGUGAAGUACCUACUUACUGAGUAUGACUUGUCGUACUCACCCUUGUUUUCUCUGUUUUUCUAGAUGCAGAUGAUGUAACUUAAGCAUGUUCAGAAGAUGUCGUCAUCUAAAAUUAGGCUAGACCAGUGGGUGGGAAGCGACUAUAGACUGAUUUAUUUGAGAUGUUGGAAAUGUAAAGAAUUUGUAAAAGAAAAUAUAUGAGCUUUUGUGAUCCACUGCUGGUUUAUGCCUGCUUUAUCACGCCUUGCGUGACUAUAGGCCUCUGGUCUAUAGGUGCGCGGCGGCUGUCUCGCCUAGGGCCGGUCUUGG